CCGGCGCUGUUACAGAAUGCCCUGCGCGCCAAGACGCCUCAAAAGGCUCUUGGCUCCUCCUGCCUGCAGGCGGCGCUGUGGAAGCCGAGUCCCCGCGCAAAAAAGGCAACGUUCCCAGAAUGCCCUGCGUGUUCCCAUGGCGACGGCCGCGCGGAGCUGACAGAUGCAGGCAGCACCCCGAGCUGCUUCUCGGACACUGUGGUCCUCAUGCGCGGCACAGAGGCGGCGGUGGCGCCUCAGGAAAGGGUACCCCGAGUCCAAGGAGGCCUGGAAUCCCAGAGGCGGGCUCAGCGGCCCCGCCCCGGGUCUCGGGCUACGCAGACGCUGCAAGUGGCAUCAGGUGUGAGCGGUGACACCUUGGCCCGGCAGAGGGGCGGUCCGCGGUCUCAGAAGGACGAAGCCUGCUGGGCCCGAGCCUGGCCCGGAGGAGGCGCCGUCGGGAUGCUCGGACUGACUGAAAUCUGCAGCUCUAGCCCAGCAGUCCAACCCGAGCUCAACCGCUUGGGCCCAGAGAGGGCCGUGCAGGGAAAUCUGUGCGCUCAGGCCUGGACGCUAAGUUCCUUGAAGCUGACUGAAGUUUUUAAAUCUUUGUUACCCAUGCAGCGUGUGGCCCCAGUGGGCCCUCUACGAACGCUUGUUGAAUCAAUGAAUUAAUGAAUGAAGAAGCCCUAUGCAUAACCACUGAUUUUACAGUCAGCCCAGGGCUUUCUGAGUGAUGCUGUUUCUCUGAAGCUCAUCUUGCAUGCUGGGAAUACUACUGUACUUUUGCAGGUGAAGAUUCAGCAGUGAUUGACUGAGUCAUCCACGUAGUGGUGAAAGAGUAGACGGAAGAUCAUUCCCUUGGAAUUUCCCUGCUGACAGUGCUGACUGUCAAAGGGGAGUAGAAAAUGUCACCUAUGAGAGGAGAAAACUAGCUGUACUUUUGCUAUUUGAAAAUUAUGUCAUCACUUCCUUAUUCUAUGAGAAUGACUUACAUAGGGGAAAGAAGCAGCCUCUUUCCUGGUGGAUAUGAAUGAGGAAGGAUGUAGCCGUAAGAACUGCUGAACCAACACACGGAAGCAGCACUGAGAGAUCGGGAAACCUCAUCCUGUUAACACUGCUGGAGCCCUGUGUUAAGGGCUGUGAAGAGCAUCCGCGUUUGGCUGUUUUGGGGGUAAGUAAGGAGUUGGAGCACUGACAUUUGAGUCCGUGCAUUGAGGGGACAUGAAUUCCUUUCCUUAGUCUUCUUGUCAUAGUGGCUGCGUUGGGGUUUGGGAAAUGGAAAGGACUGAAGUAGAAAAUAGAGCUCAUUGCUCUUCUAGACAGGACUCAAGAUGUUGUUUUGUUCACUGAUCGAUUUAUAAAUCAAAAAUAGAACAAAACCCCUAAGAUGUGACUAAGACUUCAUCUCUAGAGAUAAAUCGAAGGUAUGUUUCCCUUUCGAAGAGAAUGGGUGCUUUUCAUAAAUAUAUAAUGUCUACUAUAUAUACUACAUAUUAUAUGUAUCAUGGUGAAAAUUGUAACUGCCAUUUGGAAGCAUGGACAUGGGCUGUUUUUUGUUUUGGUUUUGGUUUUUAAUGCUUGGUGUAUAUGAGAUUGAUGCCUGAAAAGUUAAAACAGUCAGUAAAGCAUUGAAGUUCAGUACAUCACAUCAUAAAAGAGGAUUCUGCAGAGCAUUGUAUGGGUUUCACUUCUGGCUUUUGUUCUCAGGGAGCAAAUAAACCAAGACUUGUACAGAUCACUAGCUUUGUAAUUGUACCUCACGAAAGAGUUACCUUUGAGAGUACACAGUAAUCUCCCCUAGUCUACAAAUAAAAGACAUCGGCUUCUUCACUGGUUUAAUGAGAUUCCUAAACUCUAAACCAGACAAAUAAUACAUAAGACAAGGGAAGUUUUAAGGGUAUUGCAUCUUUGUUUUGGUUCUAUAGAUAACAAGGUAAAACUAUGAAGUCCUAAAGUGGGCCUUAAAGUGCCACGUAACAGAUUCCCUACUCACACAUAGACACGUUUGAAGCCUGAUAUGAUUCCCUUUCCUGGCAUCGUUUCCUCCUGAAUUCGGCAGCAUGUAGGAUUCUGUGAUUCCAGCCUUUAAGACGAGGUCUUUAUUUAAUUUAAAAAAAAUAAGCGAAUUCCAGAAGAGCCACAAUAAUAGCACAGGUCACUUGUUACCUCACCAUCUAACUCAGUUUCAUCUCUUAACAUCUGUACCUUUGAGAACAUAUACCCACUGGUUAUACCCAAGUAUCGUCCACCUCAGACAAUACCAGCUUCCUGGGAAAUGGAACAGUUUCUCAGUGAACUCUGUUCACUCAAGAAGCUCCUUUAACCUUUUCCUAGAUUCCUCCCCCCACCUGAGUUCUGUCCUCUUUUAAGAAAACUGUUUUGUGCUUAGUGAUGAAGGGCAGAAUGAACCUAAUCCCAAAGUCCCCCUUUGAUGCCAUUAACAGGCUGCAGGUGUGACAGUAACAUAGUCAAGAGGGUCUGAGCUGCCUGGUUCCAUCAUCUCACACUGCCCUCUGUUCUCUCUCUCUUUUUCUUAAGUCUGCCAAAUUCCUGGGAUGUCCUGAUGUCCCUUUUUAGGCUGCCCCCACCAUGGUAUGUCCAGUAUGUGCUGGAUUCUGGCCAUAUAGUUAAUGCAUGGUAGAUGCCAACAAUACUCUGGGAACAAAAUUAACAACUUCCCUGAAGCUCAGGAAGCCGAAUCCUCAGGACUGCACAGAAAAGCCUGUGACUUACUCAGGUCCUAACUUGGAAAAGUCACUUUCUCCUCCACAAGGCACUUUGGAGAAGAUCAUGUAGCCAGAGCACGUAACACAGAGGUUGUCAAAAUCAGAAUUCAAAGGCUAGGGAAGUGUUGCACGCAAGAAGUGGCCGAACAACCAACCCCUCAGUAUACCUAAGCACAAGGGGAAACCCACAGGUCAGUCGUGCACGUGCCCAGGUUCCACCCAGAGACCUCCUGCUCAGAACCUAGAGCGGCCACAUCAAAAGACACCAACCUAAAACAUCCUCUCUGUCUUGCUGAUGGUUCAGAAGGGUUGGCAAGAGCUCAUUUAAGAAUACAAAAAAUGUAAAAAACCAAAACCAAUCUUUUCUUUUUCCCAAGUUACAAUAAAGCUUUUGAAGCACA